rnacentral:rRNA from 2 species
UUAAAUUGAAGAGUUUGAUCAUGGCUCAGAUUGAACGCUGGCGGCAGGCCUAACACAUGCAAGUCGAACGGUAACAGGAAGCAGCUUGCUGUUUCGCUGACGAGUGGCGGACGGGUGAGUAAUGUCUGGGAAACUGCCUGAUGGAGGGGGAUAACU